rnacentral:lncRNA from 1 species
CUAGUAGGCCUCUGCCUCAACAUUCAAGCAGGCAAUGUGCCACACACCACAUUAUCAUUCAGUUCAACACAGAUAUUUGUACAGUUCAUAGUGUUUCUCGAGUCGAGAUAAAUAAACUCCAAAAAAUUCGGUCCUAUUUUCGUGUCUAGCUUGAAAAGUAAGCAACGAAAUUUAGCAAUAAUUUUGGGAAAAAUAAAUAAUACAAAAUGGAACUAUAUUUUCAGGUCAGAGCUCCAGUUGAAGCAACGAAAAAUGUGCAACUAUCCUUGCUAUCCCUCUGCUGCCCUGUGCCCUUGCGGCGGUUGUGGUCCCAGCGGCUUUUACGAUCCCUGCUUUGGCCCCUUCAAUGGUCCCUUCAAUUCGUGCUGUGGCCCCAGUGGUACCCAAUGCUGGAGAGGAUGCACUUUUUACUAGAAGUGGUGGGACCUCAAACUCAACUAGAGCACUGCCUUGUCUUGCUAACAGAAGAAAAUCAGGAAUAGAAUUGGUUGUUCUGACAACAGCUUGAUCAACUUUCAGAAACGACUCGCCAGACAUCCGAAAACAGUUUUUUGUGUUUAUUAAUAUGAUUGUAAAUAAUAUCUAAUGCAAUAAAUUGUUUCACUAAACUGUGGACAAUAUAUAACAAAAUAUUCA